CCUCUCCCAGACUGGACUGGCACAAGACAACCAGUUCCUGUCUGCCAGCUGUGGACACCCUAUUUCUUUUGGAGUGUGCGAGAUCCAAUUUGCCAGUAUGUGGAUAUCACAUUCUUAAGGCUUCUCCUCCACCUCAGAUGUCCUGUUUCUUCAGCCAUCUCUUUCAAACACUCUUCUGUAGUGGGGAGUUUCCCCUACGAUGUCCCUCGUAUUUCUCCAUGAGAAAUUCCUCGGUUCAGGAAUCACAGAGCUGAAAAGCGCUGCGUGGAGCAAAUAGUGCAUCCCCCGCUCCCUGAUGCGAUGGAAUCAGAGGUUUUGAAUUGAUGUAGUGUGCACAAAUAGAUGGAUACUGGUAGCUAAAAUACAUGGAUAUUGCCAGUUGAUGGAUAUCUCUUUAUAUCCUACUUUUCCUAUUUAUUUUUUUCACAAGCAUAGAGUUAACACAGAGAGAGGUAGGAGACAGAAGGGUGGUGUCGACUUUCCACCAAGAAAAAUUCAGAAUCUGGUAGAUCAAGCGAAUAUGAAGUGAACACAGGGGGACACUGAAAUAUUUGGGUUUAAACUAACAUAAUUCAUAUGUCUUUCUGGCUCCUUCUGCAUAUAUGUUAAACAAAGUCCCACUGAGUUUAGCUCAUUAGUAUUAUACGUUAGUAAAGUACAUACAUGAUAGCCCAUUAGUAAUGUUGAAUAUAAUUUAACUCUCUUUCCAGUAAGUUCUGUUUUUAGUAUUUUAUCAGCCUUAGCUUUCAGUGCUGCUGACUUCUAACAGGCCUUUUUUGGGGAUUUUUUUUUCCUGAGCUGGUUUUGGUGGUGAGUGGGAGUGAAGAAAGAAAUUCAAUAAGCCUGAAGGCAAUUGCUGUACUGGCAGUGUGCAUUGCUUUUCAUUUUUUAAUUGGCAUGAAGGCCCUCCAAGUAACACAAGCUCUCCUUUUUGACAGAAAUGACAGAUAAAUUAUAUAACAAGAUGCAGUAUGAUAGUUUUUUUUUUGGGGGGGGUGGUGGGGGAGAAUUAAGUGAAGUCAAAUUUGAAAGCUUAUUUAGUAUCAGGGGUAUUCCUUAACUGUACUAUUAAAUAAAGCCUCUUUUAAGGUGCUCCUAAGGCACUUUACAAAAAGCACUUUGCAAAAUAGAGCCAAGAUUUAAAAUGACAUGGUUGUCUAAAUUAGAUUCCUUAAUCUAUAGUUGAACAUACCAAUAAUAACUCAAUAAUCAAGAAUGUUUGACCUCUCACAAAUCCUAUUAACUUUGGCAGGGGGAACUGCAAACGAUUUGAGUUGUGCAAGUAAUUUCAGCUUUCAAAACUGAAACUAUAGAUUCUAAGGUUUUAAAGCAUUGGUUGAAUUUGUACUAGAAACCAAUAUGUAACCGUGUUAAAAAGCAAAAUAGAUGAGUGUCCUUGUUUCUUCUAAAUUUAUUUCAACCUCCUGUAGCCCCACAGAAGUUCUCUGACAUUUCCCAUUCUUGGUAACACUUCCUCUCUAAUCAGAUCAGUAUAUCUACAUACUCGACCACAUUCUUUAUGCUAAUUUCCAAUAAAUGUUUUCAAAACUU